AGUCUUGAUGAACGUGUGGUGAGGACGUUUCCCCCUGCCUUGGCGAUCCUGACGAUUGUAUUUUGUUAAUGCCCUGUGUGGUGGUUCACCAACACAUACCACUGCUGUUUUGCCCCUUUGGUUUUGCCUUAGUUUAAUGUUUAACUUGGUUUUGAAUCUCUAAUUUCCUUGAUUAUUUUGCCUUUUGUUAUACUUUUAGUUUCCCUUAGUUCAGUCCUAUUUUGCUCAUUUGUUUGCAAUUUGUGUCGAGUUAAAUUGGAAUUACUCUGUUUUGGCCCUUUAAUGGUGGCCUUUGUGAUUUAUUGUUUCUGGGGUCUGUUGGUUGGUUUUAUUUUGACAUUUUUCCUGAGUUGUAGUGUAGUUUUGUAUUUUAAGCCAACUGGGUUACAUCUCAGUUCUUUCAAU